UGCCAGCCGCCGCGGUAAUACGGAGGGUCCAAGCGUUGUCCGGAAUCACUGGGUGUAAAGGGUGCGCAGGCGGGCUUGUAAGUCAGAGGUGAAAUCCCCCGGCCUAACCGGGGAACUGCCUUUGAUACUGCAAGUCUUGAGUCUUGGAGAGGUUGCCAGAAUUCGUGGUGUAGCGGUGAAAUGCGUAGAUAUCACGAGGAAUACCGGAAGCGUAGGCGGGCAACUGGACAAGUACUGACGCUGAGGCACGAAAGCGUGGGGAGCGAACAGGAUUAGAUA
rnacentral:rRNA from 1 species